AAAAAGGGCUUCUGUCAUGAGUGGCAUGUGGGGGCAUGAGUGACAUGUGGGGCAACUCAACUGCUCUUCAUGCGGAAUCAACAUCAAGAGAUUUUGGAAGCAUAAUUUUUUGGUACCUGAGAAGCUGGUGAUCAUUGGUCCUGGUGCAUGA
ensembl:snRNA